GAGAAAGGCAGUGAGCUCAGUGUCUUAUAAAUCAGCAGCAUUGAGCUGAACUGGAACUGUCAAACUGUGGAAAAACCUGCUGCCGUGCGAGCUUGUGAGUCUUUUCAAAAACAAAACCUAACCCUUGCCUUGCUCUCUAGAUGGGAGAGGGCUUAAUUUGAGUUCACGGAGGAGUGAGGAGUGCAAGAAGAAAUAUGGUUUGCUAAGAAAAUAAAAAAGAAUCAACUCAAGGCCCUGUGGCAUCUGUUGUUCAGCUCACAAAGCUUCUAUUGACUGAAGGAGGGGUUUGUUGAUCCAGAAAUCUGUGAUUGGCACACGAGGCAGUGGGAGCCUGAGGACUCCUGUGUCAGGCUGAGAUUUCUCAUCCAGUUCAGCAGUCACCAGCCAAAUGGCCUGCUGCAGAAAAACCCAAAGAUAGGGCUGAGACCCUGGCAUGAAACCGACCCUUCUCUUCCCUGAUGCGCGCGCUUCUCGGCUUAGGGGGAGACAGAGGCAGUGUGGGAAUGGGCCAUAUUGAAAAGGCGAGGUAGCAGGAAGGAGGCAGAGGGGAUAGGAAGGCAGAGACAAGUGGUCAAAGAGGGUUGCAAGGUCAAGGGCAGCUCUGCACAGGAAGGGAAGGCCGAGGAAAGGGUGUGUGGCUCAGGGGCUGGUCACAGAGGUAGAGACGUAUUCCGGCCCUCAAGGGAUGAACUGUCCAGUUGGGGCUCUAGGAACUCAACUAUUUUAUAAAAGGUCUACAAGCAAAGAAUUGGGGGGAAUUCGAGGAAGAGUCCCUUAGCUCUGAGGAGCAGGUUGGGAAAAGACCUGUGUAUUUGGUGACAUUUAAAAUGGUCCUUAAAAGAUGAUUAAGAUUUUGGUGGAUCAGCUUCUUGAACUCAGGGAACAGCAUGAGUGAAAAUACAGGCAGAACUUCCUCAGCAUCUCCAUGGCCCACGGCCCCAUCUCCAGGAUUAUUUUGAAGUAAAUCCCAGACAUCGUAUCAUUUCAUCCACAAGUAUUUCAGUACUAUCUCAGUAAGAUAAGGACUUUUAAACAUAUGCCAUUACAAUCCCAUUGUCAUACCUGAAAAUAACAAUUCC